rnacentral:rRNA from 1 species
UACGAAGGGGGCUAGCGUUGCUCGGAAUGACUGGGCGUAAAGGGCGCGUAGGCGGUUGGUACAGUCAGAUGUGAAAUUCCCGGGCUCAACCUGGGGGCUGCAUUUGAUACGUGCUGGCUUGAGUGAGGAAGAGGGUCGUGGAAUUCCCAGUGUAGAGGUGAAAUUCGUAGAUAUCAAGAGGAACACCUGAGGCGAAGGCGGGUUGCUAGGCUGACACUGACGCUGAGGCGCGAAAGCUAGGGUAGCAAACGGG